GAUGAACGCUGGCGGCGUGCCUAAUACAUGCAAGUCGAGCGAAGCGGGGACGGUUGAGUAACACGUGGAUAACCUCCUAUACGUCUGCGAUAACUUCGGGAAACCGGUGCUAAACCGGCUACUUAUAGAUGGAUCUGCGCUGCAUUAGCUAGUUGGUAAGGUAACGGCUUACCAAGGCAACGAUGCAUAGCCGACCUGAGAGGGUGAUCGGCCACACUGGAACUGAGACACGGUCCAGACUCCUACGGGAGGCAGCAGUAGGGAAUCUUCGGCAAUGGGCGAAAGCCUGACGGAGCAACGCCGCGUGAGUGAUGAAGGUCUUCGGAUCGUAAAACUCUGUUAUUAGGGAAGCGGUACCUAAUCAGAAAGCCACGGCUAACUACGUGCCAGCAGCCGCGGUAAUAC
rnacentral:rRNA from 1 species